UGCUAACCGUCCGAGCAAAACCAAAUCGCGCGAAGUCCACCAUUUUUUUCCUCUGAUCCAAAUUGAUAUUCGCCUUCAAGUCCGGAUCGAUCUAGGUCUACUACGAAACAAAUCAGUCAUCCAAUUUUCUCUCACUAAGAGGGAAGGCAGGAAGGCAGCCGGGCAGGGGGCGACGGGAAGGCGGCGACGGUCUGGGGAGCGGCAGGAAGGCGGCGACGGACAGGGCAGCAGCGGGAAGGCGGCGACGGACAGGAGAGUGGCAGGAAAGCAGCGACGGUCUGGGGAGCGAUGGGAAGGCGGCGACGGAUAGGGCAGCGCUGGCUUUGCGGGUAGCGAAGGGAGAAGCAUCAAGGCCGUGGUAGGAAAGAUGCAAGUCAUGUUCUAACGGCCUCUGCUCCUCUGGCUGCCCAUCCAACCUGCCCGCCGGUCGCCCUUCUUCUCCCUCACCGUGUACGACAGCGAGAUUGGCCUUCGAGGUAUCCUCCUUCCUGUCUCCUCUCAUCCAGUCACCUUAUGCGUAGCCACCUCAGGACAUGACCGUGGGGUGUAGGGGGAUUUGGUAUAUGAUUAAGAAGAUGGACCAUCAAGUAUGAGAGAUGGAUCCAUUCCCCUAUCUCUGCGAUCAAAUCAUCUGAGAGAGAGGAGCUUCGGGCUUGUUACAAUUUCAGAGAUGUAAUGUGCCACCUGGGCUCUGUUCAGUUGUUUGGGAUUAGUUCCCAAGAGGGAAUUGAUCAACAUGGGGUUUGAGUGAAACCUCUUUCUAUCACUCUAAUCCCUGUUGGGGUUUGUCCCCUAUCCCUCCUAAUCCCUAUCCACAUCAUUGCUGUUUGGUUGGUAACAGAAUUUGUACAGGAAUACAGUUUAAAUGUUGCACUAAGUAAACAUUCAGCAAUGAAUUCAAUUUGUAUAGCGAAUGCUUGAAAUAUUCACGAAAUGUAGUGUAAGCAUUGCACUGAGUAAACAUUCAUCUUCGAAUUCAGUUUUUCAGGGAAUAUUUGAUACAAAUAUUCAUAGAAUAUAGUGUAAGCUGGGGUACAUCCACAGUUAGAUAUUAUGGUUGAAGUUUCAGAAAUACUCAGGAGUUUGGGACUGUAAAUAUUCAAAGAAACAAUAUUUUUAAUGUGAGUACAUCAUGACCAACACAUAAUAGCAUCUCACUGAACUGUGUGAUCUCCCCCAGCUUCGGUCUUUCCUUGUGUACCUGCAAUCACAAACGUCAGUGAUUUUUCUGUAACAUUUAUUACGGGUUACAAGUCACUGGAAAUGUGACACGGAUUUGCAAAAGGAAAAUGGAAGUAAUUUAGUCAAUCAUGAUUAGAAAGGUGGUUAACCUAAGCAAAAGUGUACAAAGUCCUAGUACUCCUCCCUUCUUUUUGUAAAUGUGAUCCCUUAUUGUCAUAUCCACUGCGAAACUAAUAACAUUUAAGUUUUAGUUUUAGUAUAGAGUCCAUGUAUAUAUGGGAGUAAGACAAACAAGUGAGAAUACUCAGAACAAGGACCCCAAUUGGCAACAUAAAUAAGAACGUGUAUGUACAGGACUCUUCUAAGGUAAUAACAGAACAGUGUCCAGGAAUGGAGCACAUCAAUAAUAAGAACAAGGCAACAAUUAUAUUCUUAUAAAGCAAAUGUACAAGAGUGUUUAAAAAAUAUAACAGAUGCCUGCUAAACUAAACGACGACUUUGAGAAUCUAUAUCGAGUAGUACUCUGAAUCCACUGUUGAUUUUUUUUAUCCAAAUCUGAAUAACAUGGGACAAGAUGAGAGAUGAUUACAUCAACCUCUAUAUUUUUAUAUGUUAAGAGUAAUACUUGGACCUAUAUCAAAUCUCUGGAGUACAUACACUUAUAUCAUUUGUUGACAAGACUAUUAUAUCUAUUUCAUAGUAUUUUCUGAAACUCAAGUGGACAAUAGUUCGAAAAUGCACAAAGAUAUCACUCUGAUGCACCUUGAUUAAACUUAUCGUCGAGUUCCAUUUCUUUCCCUUAAGAUGUGAAUGCCUCUCUGUUUCAUGGAAGAUCAAUUCUUUUGUUUUAUUUGGCUUGAGUGUUUGUUGUGUUCAUCUCACCUUAGCUCCUUGCCAAUUUCAGUCAACCAAGAAAGAAAAAGAAGUCCUUGUUUUUUUUGUGUAUACUUGAUUGGUAUAUGUUUAGAAUAUUUUUGCAUGUAGUGCAUUGUGAGAUCAAAGAACUCAGAUUGUACAACAUGGUUCUAGGAGUUUGGGACUAGAUGAACUUUGGCAGUUGCUGCUGGUGUUAUAUCAUGAUGAAAAUUCAAUCGAUCAACAAUUGAAUUUGACUAUUUGAACUUGCUAGCUGCUGUCGUACAAGAGGUGAAGGCUAGACAUACUAUUUACUGCUUGUGAUGCACUAUGUGUUCACAGAUUUUACGUAGCUGUACUACGUGUUCACAAAUUUACUGUCAUUCUGUGACGUUGGAUGUCAAGUUUACCAUUGUUAGGAAAUGGUUUAGAAUUUGGUGUAUAAAUUUCGCACAUGAAACUUACUACUCUAUUGCUUCUACAUGCAGGUUCGAUGGAUAAUGGAAAAGUCACCUAUCUGAAAAUGUGGAGCCUUGUUAUUUGCUAUUUUUUUUCUUUUAUGUCCAUGUAAUAAUUCGAACAAGAUUUGUACGUGUGACUGUCCUAGUCUUCCUCUCUGCUGCUCCUCUCAAUGCUCUCCUACUGUAGAUCACUGCCGCUGCUCUUCUUCAAGUCCUACAUCAACUGCAAUUUCGAACUCAAGAUAAUUGUCUGACAAUUCUUUAUUUUGAAAAUUAAAAAAAUACUACGUUUUGGGAACUCAUCAUAAAAUUUGAGAAAAUUUCUACUCCCGCCAUCCCAUAAUAUAAGAACAUUUUUAAAG
rnacentral:lncRNA from 1 species